UUGGAGGGCAAGUCUGGUGCCAGCAGCCGCGGUAAUUCCAGCUCCAAUAGCGUAUAUUAAAGUUGUUGCAGUUAAAAAGCUCGUAGUUGAAUUUCGGGAUCAAUAUGUCGGUCGUGCUUCGGUACGUACUGGUAUCAUUGGUUUCUCCUUUCUGACGAACCAUGAUGUCAUUAAUUUGGUGUUAUGGGGAGUUAGGACUGUUACUUUGAAAAAAUUAGAGUGUUUAAAGCAGGCUUUAGCUUGAAUACAUUAGCAUGGAAUAAUGAAAUAGGACGUUCGAACCUAUUUUGUUGGUUUCUAGGAUCAACGUAAUGAUUAAUAGGGAUAGUUGGGGGCAUUAGUAUUCAAUUGUCAGAGGUGAAAUUCUUGGAUUUAUUGAAGACUAACUACUGCGAAAGCAUUUGCCAAGGAUGUUUUCAUUAAUCAAGAACGAAAGUUAGGGGAUCGAAGACGAUCAGAUACCGUCGUAGUCUUAACCAUAAACUAUGCCGACUAGGGAUCGGAUGAUGUUAAUUUUUUAAUGACUCAUUCGGCGCCUUACGGGAAAC
rnacentral:rRNA from 1 species